GAUUCGUGAUGACUCGUCACUCGAGGAGGACCAGGAGCGUAAUGAUUAUUACUGAAGCUUUCGACGAGGACCCGGACUGAAUGCAUGACCAGAUGAGGGUCGAUGAUGGAAGCAUAGGGUAUGGGUGUUUAGAGCCUACUAAGGUUGGGUGUUAGUGUCAUAGCUCUGAAUCGUCAUUUGUACUUUUGGGACAGGGUAGUUUCCGACAGAUUGCUUUUCGGUGUGGUUCUCCGUUGAUGGGAAUCGCAUGGUGUAGUCGGACGUAAGAAGUCUUUUUGGAAGCCGUUUUGGGCUGACUUACUUUUCGAAGGACUGUAUUUAUAAAACUUAUGACUCUAUUUAUGAGUCGCACUUGUUUGCCGUUGGGCAACACUUUUAGUUACUUGAUGUUACUUUCCGUCACUUGAGGACACUCGUGACGAUGUUUUUAGUUGCAGCGAGGGCUGUGCUUGUAUUGUAUAUUAAUCGCUGUUAAUUGCGAUUGGGUUGAGUCUUUAUUUCGACAAGUCUUUUUAUUUAAACAAAAACGAAAAAAAAAUACCUGCUUUUCCACUUUACUUUAUUUUAUUUUCGAGUUACUAAAGUGACGCCACCGAAAUCGGGGUGUUACAUUGUGGUAUCAGAGCUUGUCGAGUCUUUCGGGAGUCUUUGGGGAAUAGGUCUUCUGUGCUAGGUUGUGUGACUCUGCAAAGAGUGAAAAUUGAUUGUCUGCCGAGCGAUUUUUUGCUUAGAAUUGAUUGAAGUUAGUGCUUAAUCAUAUUGUAUAGUUAUGUUAGAUGCUAUCUUAUGAUUAGUACUAACUGUUUGUUUAACUAAACAGAACAUGGUGAACAUGAACCAACUCGCUGGGGCAAUGACUGCUAUGGCCCAGGCAAUGACAAAUCAAACUGCGGAGAACGCUCAGUGGCGUGCUGACAAGGCUGAACGUGAGCGUCAUAAGCGUGAGAGGGAGGUAGCCCUAGACCAGAAUAGGGGGCUGACUGAUUUCAGGCGACAGGAUCCGCCCAAGUUCACGGGGGGACUGACCCAGACAGAGCGGACCUAUGGAUCCAAGAGAUUGAAAAGAUUUUUGGGGUACUGCAUACCGCCGAAGGGGCUAAGGUGGGCCUGGCAUCUUACCUACUACUAGGAGAUGCUGAGUACUGGUGGAGGGGCGCCAGAGGGAUGAUGGAGUCCAAUCACGAGGAAGUGAAUUGGAACUCGUUCCGAGCUGCGUUCCUAGACAAGUAUUUUCCGACUAGUGCCCGAGAUGAGAGAGAAGCGCAAUUUUUGACUCUUUGUCAAGGGAGCAUGACCAUACCUGAGUAUGCUUCCAAACUGGAGUCAUUGGCAAAGCACUUCCAAUUUUUCAAUGACCAUGUGGACGAGCGCUAUAUGUGCAAGAGGUUUAUUAACGGACUACGAGCUGACAUCGAAGAUUCGGUGAGGCCGCUAGGGAUUGUGCGAUUUCAACCUUUGGUUGAGAAGGCAACAGAAGUUGAACUUAUGAAGAACAAGAAGAUUAAUAGAACAGGCACUGGGGGACCAAUGAGGUCGAACUUUCAAAAUAAUCAAGGGAAAGAGAGAUUCCGACAGGAGAAGCCGUAUCAACGUCCUUUAGAGGAAGGUUUUACCUCGGGGCAGUAUAAGCCCAUAAAUGCUACCGGAGGAACAGGAAACAAGACUUCGGGUCAAGGAGUGACGUGUUACAGGUGCAAGAAGGUGGGGCACUACACUAACAAGUGUCCAGACGGAAGACCUCUAUGUUUCAACUGCAACCGUCCGGGGCAUCAAGCCAAGGAUUGCAAUGUAACCAAGGUUGAGCCAUCUGUGCAUACGGUGAGGGGAAGACGUUCUACUGCACGGGGAAGAGUCCAUGUCUUGUGCGGCGAGGGAGCUGAUGGAUUAGUCAGAGGAGAGCGCAAGAACGAUGGUAACUUUCUAACUAUUCUUUCUCAUUCUAGUAUGGUAUACUCUUCGUUACCCCCGUAGCGUGUGCAACACGCUUGAACUUGCUUUUACCGCUAAGCUUUGACCUUAUAGUUAUUACCCCUACUAAGAAUUUAUUUGACUGCUGCUCGUGUUUUAACUAUAGUAGUUACACGAGGUUUAGAAUAACACGCUAAGCCUAGAAAGUAGUUUUGCACCGCUGCGUUUAUAAGGAAGCUAGUAGCUGAAGAACGAAUCUUAGAGAGAUUCCUUAUGGGUAGUAUACGUGUUAUGUUGAGGGUGCGUAGUUCCGUAGCGGGACCGUUAAGGAUUGAAUGUCGGGAUAAUGGUGACUACUGGACGAUAGGAACUCAUUGACUGUUCCAGUGGGUUUUUCUAAAUUUUCACCUUCGAUGUAUUAGGCUUGAUCAACUUAAUAUUGAGGGGGUGAUAUUCGGAAUCACAGCUGGUAAUGGACUUUGAUAGAAGGAUGUGUAAGAUGAAUUUGAAUUGAUCGAGGAUUAGUCGGAUUUGGGAGGAAAGUUCGUGUUAAGCACUUGAUUUUAAAAGAUUAAGAUUUAAAUCUUUGGAAGUCGAUGAGUGUCGUAUAGACAUUAAUUGGUUAGUUCGUGUGAUUACUCCAAGUAGAGGUAGACUAAGUCAAGAGAUUUAAUGCUGGAAAAAUAUUAAGUAUUUUCUCGGAAUUAUGAAGUCAUAGGUUAUGUGAUUUCGGAGUGGAAUUGUUAGAGACUAAAUAGGUUGCAUUUAAUAUCAGGUUAUAGAUGAUCACUUGAUGAUGACAAGAUAGAGAAGAAUUAACUCUGAGCUAGAUUGUUGUAGUCGGGUUCGAGGAAUAAGUUUUGCUAAGCGCUUGAUUUAUUUGUGGAGACAUUAUAGUCUUAAGAGAUGAAUUUUCACUUGAAAAGUGUUGAAUUAAUGAUUAAGUUAGAAAAAUAAAGUUUUAGUAUAAGUUGAAUACUUGAGAUUGUUGAUAUGGAUUUCAGAGAAACAUGCUAAGGUUACUAAGUGAGAUUUACUAAGAUGGAUUGAAAUCUUAGGGUUAAGAUUGACCUUGAGAGUUGAGAAUCACGUACGAGUAGGAGAUCUUAUGGUUGUAGGUGUGACAAUAGGAUUUGAAUCUUAGAAGAUUGGAGAUCUGAAGAUGAGUUUCGGGUAAAGACCAUUGAGGUAUAGUAUAAGAGAGAUCUUGAAGUAAAGGAAUUCUGAGUUGUGUAGAGUGUUAAGGUUGGUUAUAAGUUGGGGAUCGAUUGAUGUUGAUUAUGGGGUUGCUGAUAUGAUGAGCCAUGUGAUAAGAUUCGAAUGAUGUUAGCAUAAUAAGUUAUGAUUGUGAAUAUCAGGAUCAAGAUGUGAAUGUGAAAGCAUGACGACACUGGUCAGGUCGUUUAUGUAAGCAAAUGAGUCAUAGUUUUAAGAAAUGGAUAUUCAUUUAAGAAGUAUUGGAGGAUUAAAGGCCAUUAGAGGACCAAACUUGGAGAAGGUUUAGGUUUUAAAUCCAUGAAUCUCUGUCUUAAGUGUGUAGGACUCAAAGUUUGUCAGGUUUUGAUCGAGAGACUAAGUAUCGGAUUGAUUGGAGGAUGAUCAAGUUACAGAAAGGAAAGUGUUAGUAUUAAGAUGAAUACUUGAAGUUGUUAUAUUUGGACGAGUUUCGUAGAGUUUAAGAGUGAAUGGAACUUUGUUAUGGAUUUUGAUGAUGCAUGCUAGGGUUAGCAAGUGAAUUUUACUAAGUUGAAUGAGAAUCCUAGGGCUAAGGUCGAUCUAGUGAGCUGAGAUUCAUGUACACUUAAGAGAUUUAGUGGUGUUAGCGGUUACGAUAGCAGUUAAAUCUCAGAAGGUUGAAGGAUCAGAUGAUGAAAUGACUAGUAAAAUCCCUUGAGGUAUAGUUAUGAUUUAAUCUUCUAGGGGAUGAGUUCUGAUUUGUGCGAAGUGUUAGAGAUUUCAGUAAGUGUAAAUUGGUUUGAAUGAGGAUAGUUACGAAGUUAGAGGUAAUGAUUACUGGACUAGUGGAUUCCAAGGAAAUAAUUCGUCUAGGAGUUACCACGCGAUCGAGUUGAAUUUUGGAUCAUAAGUGAACAUCACAAGGACAAAACAGUUGAGGGAAAAAGAGAUUGUGUUGUGCAAGUUAUUUGGAACAAAGACACGGACGAUGCUAUAUGGGAGAGAGAGGAAAAAGAUCAAGGAAUAAUAUCCGGAACUUUUUACUGAACCUUAAGUUUCGAGGACGAAACUUUCUUUUUGGAGGGUAGUAAUGUGAGACCCAAGUUUUUAAGUUUGGAAUAAACCGAAUAAAAUUCCUUUUCACGAUUAAUUUGAGGUAACGUGAAGGAAAACCUGAACAAGUGUCUAUUGAAUGGAAUAAAUUUGUGAAGGAGAAAGUUCAGGAAAAAGCUAAGGAUGGUAUCCAAGUCGAUAAAGGUUAUAGCACGGUUAGUAUUCGCUUUAACCUAGGUCAAGAACGCUAGGAAAUAGCUAAUUUACUCUUUAAGGCACGAUGAAAACUAAUUCCAAAAAUUUUCAGAGAAAUGUUAGAACUUCUCUUAUUCGUCUAUAAACGAGCGUUUCGAUACGAAACCCUAGAAUGUAAGAACGUCAAAUUCCAAUACUCGGAAGUUUGCCGAAACCGAAUCACUGAUAGUUCAGAAACCCUAAAAUCAACGGACGAUGAAGACUUUUUCUAUUCGGAGCUUCAAAUAAAGAUUUCAUCCGCGUACGCCCACUCUAAUCGACGUUCCAGAUCUUUCUUCAGAAGGAAGUUUCUGCAUCCGAGGUCAAAAUCAUAAAGUGCAUAAAGUGCAUUUUAAGCCGGUACACAUUAAAAACAAGCCUCGAAAACCAAAAAUCAUACUGAUAUUUCUUUGGAGAAUUAGAAGAUUCAGCGGGAAGAAUAUCGUGUCUAAAAUACGUUGGAAUCAGUAGGAAAAAUCGGAUUCGCGAAACUCUCAUUUUUCCGCAUUUUCCAUUUCUUAUAUAUAGUAUGAAAAAUGAAAAAAAAAUGAAAAAAAAUAGCUUCACAACACACACACACACGGCCGAGACAUUGAAGAGGAAAAAGGAAGAAAAGUGAUUUUUCCAAUUCUUGACCGAUCGUCGUUCCGUUCGUUGCUACGCGUAGACAUCGAGGUACUGAUGCUAUCCCUCACUUCUGAUCGUCAGAUCUGUCGACUUUUUCUAUGUCUUUCUGUGCUCAAAGUUUUGAGCUUUUUGUAAAACUGUCCAAAUAAGCUGAUUUUAGUGUCUAAACUUAUUGCCUACGUGCUCUAGAGCGUGAAUAUCCGGUUGUUUUCUGCUGAAUGUCGCCGAAAUGCCGCCGGGAUCAAUUUCUGUUGGAAAAACCCAUUUCUGGGUAAAGUUCCGUUCUUUAAGCUGGAAAUUCACGACUGAGCUUAGCUUUAGUAGGAUUAGUUGUUAUAAAUGUCGUUAGGAUCAAUCCCAUCCAAUUUGUUUUUCGAAAUUCCAAUUUUGAAAUUCUGAGCUGAAAAUAAUGACAAAAAUACCCCUGCGACAGUUUUCGACCCGAUAAUUUUUCUGAGAGUUUCCCUGGCCUAGAUAUCGCCUAAGAAUACCUUGGAAUUGAUUUAGAUCGAAGAAAAAGUUCGAAAACCCUAUUUUCUAUAGUGGCCGAAACCUAUUUGCUUGGGUACCGUGUCCAAAAAUAAUUUUCGGGUCUCUAUGACCUGAGCCAUUCCGUAGCUCUUUCAAUUGUCGAAAUUUUGGCGCCGGUUUCGUGUCAUUCCGAGUUCUGUAGCUCGAGUUAUGCACGUUUUAGCGAAUAAAGUGUUUUUGUACAAAACUUGAAUCGAGUCAAAACUCUUCCAUUCGUGGAAAGCCCUUCCAUUCGUGCCUAAAUGUUGUACUCUGAAGCUUCUUGAGCUUCGUCGAACAUUAGUUAGGAUUGUUUUGACUGUAUCGACUUGUUUUGAUUCAUUAUUGCUUUGCUUGCUCAAAGGUUCAAUUGUGGAAACUUUGGGAUUGACUGAACAAGCUUGUGAGCGAGACCUGCACCACGAGACCAGAACAACUCGAGGUUAGGGCAACUUACUUACUAGCUAAUGAUUUAUAGGCGUCGAUAAAUUCGACUUGAAUAUUGCUUGAUAUUGAAUAUUGCUUGUUAUUGAAUAUUGCUUGGGUAUUGUUGAUCGUUUGAAAUUGGAAAGUUUUUUUCUGGAGGCUUUGGCCGAGUGAACUUAUAUGAGACGUGUGUCUCCGUUUUCUGAGAGGCUUCGGCCGUUUACUGGUUUCUAUCUUAUGAUUCCCGCACCAUACUCUUAUUGCAUCGCUCUUUAGAGCUGAAUAUUGUUGAAUUGAUAUCGAAUUGUGCGUGUUGACGCGAUUGCGGAGCGUAGGACAUUUGAGUUGAUGUUGUUGAUCUUUCGGGUUGAGAGGAAACCCUAGGCAGGUCCUGACCUUAGGUCUGAGAUCUAGCCCUCUUUGAACACUUAGACUUUUCCGGGGAUUAUAUUUGGGGGAUUUGGGAAACUUUGAAUAGUUGGAAUUUGGAACUUGAGAAUUUAUGGAACUUGGAUUUCGAUAAUAAACCUCAUAACUUGAUUAACUCCACUUGAAAUGCUUUGAUUAAUUAACGAGACCUUUAGGAAAAUUUAAGACUUGGAAAUGAUUGUGAAAAACGGGAAAUAGUCGAAAAGCCUUGAACUUGAGAUGAUUUGAUGGUCGUCACGAGGAUGAACCAUAGUGACCAUGGAAAUGUCACUGAGUGCAAUAUGUACUCCGACUUUUCACAGCCUAGUCGCAAGACGACUUUGAUCUUCGGGUCCUUUUAAAUUGAGACUUGUGGUUAAACUCGUACGUGUGAGGACGAUUCGAUGUUUUGUUAACCAUAUUGCAUUAUGCAUAUGUUUGGGGUUUGGGACGGUCAGAAGACUGGGCCUUCACGAAGAACACCAAGGGUGUAUCUUCGACUUUGCGGCGCGAAUCCGUAUGUCCAAACCCGACGGGUUGGGCCGAUUCGGCAAUAAUUGUUGACACGCGCGAAUCCGUAUAUUCAAUCCGAUGGAUUGGAUCGAUUCGGCGGUAGUCACUCAGGCACGCGUGAGUCCGUAUGUUCAAUCCGAUGGAUUGGAUCGAUUCAGCGAUUGCCAUUUUACCUCGCGUGAAUCCGUAUGUUCAAUCCGAGGGAUUGGAUCGAUUCAGCGACAACUUUUCGACACGCGCGGAUCCGUAUGUUCAAUCCGAUGGAUUGGAUCUAUUCGGCGGUAGUCAUUGGACACGCGCAACGUCCGUAUGUUCGACUCUUUUGAGUGAACCGACUUGGCGUUGUCAUUCGUUGCAUGUGCGAGUCCGUAUGUUCAACCCGAUGGGUUGGAUCGACUCGACAUGCCUAAUUGUGGGAGUUGCGUGUGCGAGUCCGUAUGUUCAACCCAAGGGGUUUGAUCGACUUGACAUGCCUAAUUGUUGGGAUAAUCUUCUGAGUUGACAUUGCAUGCAUACAUGCACCCCUACUGAUUUAUUGAGUCAUUGUUUAUUGAACUGUUGAGAUAGCAGAUAUCGAAUUGUUUAUUAGAGCCUUGAUAACAUGCUAUGUAUAUACCUUAGGGUAGGCAAUACAUAAAUUACAUGUAGAUAUACAACAUAUAUAUAUAUAUAUAUAUAUAUAUAUAUAUAUAUAUAUAUAUAUAUACCCCCUUAUUCUUCACAUGUUGUUUGUAUUAUCUAUUUUAUUCCGUGAGUUGACCCUAGCGCCUUGGCUUUGUUUGUAUGUUUGUGUUUGGGCGGUCGGCCUGCUGCCAGGCGUCCGUCAGUCGAUUCGUGAUGACUCGUCACUCGAGGAGGACCAGGAGCGUAAUGAUUAUUACUGAAGCUUUCGACGAGGACCCGGACUGAAUGCAUGACCAGAUGAGGGUCGAUGAUGGAAGCAUAGGGUAUGGGUGUUUAGAGCCUACUAAGGUUGGGUGUUAGUGUCAUAGCUCUGAAUCGUCAUUUGUACUUUUGGGACAGGGUAGUUUCCGACAGAUUGCUUUUCGGUGUGGUUCUCCGUUGAUGGGAAUCGCAUGGUGUAGUCGGACGUAAGAAGUCUUUUUGGAAGCCGUUUUGGGCUGACUUACUUUUCGAAGGACUGUAUUUAUAAAACUUAUGACUCUAUUUAUGAGUCGCACUUGUUUGCCGUUGGGCAACACUUUUAGUUACUUGAUGUUACUUUCCGUCACUUGAGGACACUCGUGACGAUGUUUUUAGUUGCAGCGAGGGCUGUGCUUGUAUUGUAUAUUAAUCGCUGUUAAUCGCGAUUGGGUUGAGUCUUUAUUUCGACAAGUCUUUUUAUUUAAACAAAAACGAAAAAAAAAUACCUGCUUUUCCACUUUACUUUAUUUUAUUUUCGAGUUACUAAAG
rnacentral:lncRNA from 1 species